AUGGAUAUUCCUGGAAUGACCCAUUUUGUUAAAUAAAGGAUUUUCAUAUUUUGUUCAAUUGAAGGUUUGUAUUGAAAAUAAUUUACCCAACCAUAGGCUUUGUUCAAAAAAUAUUUACCCAACCCUUCGUACCCCAGAAAAAUGGCUUACCCAACCCAUUUCUCUUCGGUACCAACCCCGGAUAUAAAUAAUGAACACUCCCUUAGAAAGAAG